CUGAAGGACCAGGGCCCCACCUGGGUGAAGAUGGGCCAAGGGGAUGGCUGAAGAAAGGAUUUUCAUAACAAUUUUUUUUUUUUUCCCAGAAACAAUGAGCAGAGAAGAGAUGCUGUUUCAAAAUGGGAAAAGCCAGUGGGUAUCUAGGGGAAUUCCGGGCAGAGAUAAAUUGGCCCACAUGACAUCUCAGCGAAAACUCAAGGUCAAAUGAGUCCUUUAAUUCAAGCAUCAGUGGGACUGCGAAGGCUAUGUACAUGUCUGCCAACUAAAGGAUGAACACUUAUAUGUUUAUCUGUGACUUCUAAGUAAAGAAUUCUACUUUGUCCAUUCAUCUAUGGAUGGACAAGUAGGUUGCUUCUAUAUCUUGUCUAUCGUAAAUAAUGCUGUCAUGAACAUAUAUCUUUUCUAAUUAGUAUUUUUGUUUCCUUUGGGUAGAUACCCAGAAGAAUUGCUGAGUUGUAUGGUGAUUCUAUUUUUAAUUUGUUGAGGAACCUCCAUACUGUUUUCCAUGACGAUCGUACCAAUUUACACCCCCACCAACAUUGCACAUGCUUCCCUCUCCUCCACAUCUUUGCCAACCCUGGUUAUUUGUUGUCUUUUUGAUGACAGUCAUCCUGACAGAUGUGAGGUAGCAUCUCAUUGUGGUUUUGAUUUGCAUGUCCCUGAGGAUGAGUAAUAUUGAGUGUCUUUUCAUAUGUCUGUUGGCCUCUGUAUGUCUUCUUUGGAAAAAUUUAUGUUUGGGCCCUCUGCCCAUUUUUUUUUUCCCUUUUUAUGGCCACACCCGAGGCACAUGGAAAUUCCUGAGCUAGGGUUGAAUUGGAGAUGCAGCUGUGAGCCUACUCCACAGCCACAUCAGCACUGAAUCUGAGCCGCAUCUGUGACCUACCCUGCAGCUUGUAGCAACACUGGAACCUUAACCCACUGAGUGAGGCCAGGGAUUGAACCCGCAUCCUUACAGAGACAGCAUUGAGUCCUUAAUCUGCUGAGCCACAACUGGAACUCUUUCUUAACCCAUUUUUUAAUA
rnacentral:lncRNA from 1 species